rnacentral:rRNA from 1 species
CCUACGGGAGGCAGCAGUGAGGAAUAUUGGUCAAUGGGCUUACGCCUGAACCAGCCAAGUCGCGUGAGGGAAGACUGCCCUAUGGGUUGUAAACUUCUUUUAUAUGGGAAUAAAACAGGGUAUGCAUACCCUCUUGUAUGUACCAUAUGAAUAAGGAUCGGCUAACUCCGUGCCAGCAGCCGCGGUAAUACGGAGGAUCCGAGCGUUAUCCGGAUUUAUUGGGUUUAAAGGGAGCGUAGGUGGAUUGUUAAGUCAGUUGUGAAAGUUUGCGGCUCAACCGUAAAAUUGCAGUUGAAACUGGCAGUCUUGAGUACAGUAGAGGUGGGCGGAAUUCGUGGUGUAGCGGUGAAAUGCUUAGAUAUCACGAAGAACUCCGAUUGCGAAGGCAGCUCACUGGACUGCAACUGACACUGAUGCUCGAAAGUGUGGGUAUCAAACAGGAUUAGAUACCCUUGUAGUC